GGGAUAAACUUUGCCAAGUUCAACAAUUAUACAAAGAGGGUUGUGUCUUCUUUCAUCCGUUCAUUAGAUCGAGUCAAAGGAAGAGGAACGGACGUUUUCAUCAGGAGGGGUCGAUCGAAGGUGAAACGGGAACAAAUGCAUAAAUUGAGGACCAACCAUCUAAUUCUGGCGAGCCCUCGUGGCUGUGUGUGUCGUUGCCGACAGCAACUCGGGAAGGCAGAGACGCAUCCGUGACAGUCGUAAUUGGGAGGAGGACCUCCGGUGCUCGAGACGUUCGAAGGAAGAAAGGAAACGAAUGCAGCAAGAGCUACCAUCAACGGUCACCGCUAGGGGGCUGCUUCGGCGUCGAUUUGCGAAAGGAACCAGGGAGCGGAGGCUGAUACGAUGGACAAAGCAACAACGAUAGGUAGGGUGUUUAAUCCAUGAAGGAAAAGACGAAAGCAUGAAGAUUGGUGGCUCAGUGGCGAUUAAUCAACCGCGAGCAAGGGAGAUGCAGUCGAUCUCCGGCAGUCUCUUCGUCCUCGUCUUCAGUAGUAAUCGAGGAAUAAUUGAAGAACGAUCGUGGUGUUGCUCUUGUGUUUGCACUGGAUCAAUUGAUUGGAAAAGAACAAGAAAGAAUUGGCUUGUUGCUUCUUUUUGUUUGCUGACAACAUCACUCCCAGUGGAUGUGUUCUUUGGAUGACCACGGUGCACAAGAAGAAACAAGUUGAAGAGAUAGUUUUUGGUGAGUUGGGGCUGCAAACAUAUUAAGGAAAGAGGCACUAACAUGGCCAAUUAUUUAUAUUCAAUUGUAUUUAGAUGGAAAGUCAGAAGCAAUGUCAUAAAGAUCAUAAAGAUCAUCUUGUGUAUGUACUACUUUAGCUAGAAGUGUAAGCAAUAGUCUAGACUUUUAAAGAUAUGUGUACUAUUGUUUGAUAGGUAGAGAGUAGAGAAGAGUAGCUUCCAACCUGAUUGAACCUCCAAACAAAAGUCUUCUUUGACUUUUAAGUCUCAUUGAAGACUUUGGUGGAAUUAGGAGUUGUUUAGGAGUAGAGUAGAGUAAAUUUGUCGUUUCAAAAAAUAUGUAUAAGGUAUUUUCUAUAUAAAUCUUUGUCACUUGA